CAGGGUGGGAGAGGCCGGCCGGGGCUCUGGUGAGGGGUCGGGGGUCCGCCUGCCGAGACCUGCGUCCCCACCCCCGUGGCUGUGGUCGAGGGCGCCCGCAGACUCCCCGGGGGGCGGCGGGUGUCCCCUGGAGCCUCCGGGCCCUCCGUCUGGGUCCCCCGCGCAGCCUCAAGGCGGCAGCACCGAGCCUCCGGCGCUCACGAUAAUCCUGUGUCUCCAGCUCCUUCCCUCGCCUGCGUUUCUCCGGUUUAUUCCCCCGCUGCACUCAGCAUUUCUAACCCUGUUCCUCCAGUUCUCCUGCGCCCCAGGGCCUCCAGAGGUUGUUGGAUGAAGCGCUUGAAUGGAGGCUGAGUUGGCGUCCGCGGGGCGGGCCGUGUGGAGGGCUCAACGCUAGGCGUCCCCACCUGGCGGGUUCAAUGAGGUCGCGCAGGUCUGGGCUGAGGACAGAGCCUAGCAAAAGAACAUGCUUAAUCCACGGUAAUUUCUGCUUCGUGAGGAAGUUUGGCUACAUACCACCUUAAACCCAAAGGAAGCAAUAAUGGUGCAAUUCAGGCAGAGCGCCAGGGCCCUCUGAUCCAGCCAGCUGAGGGUGAGUUUUACAAUGAAUUCCAUUCAUCUAUUCAUCAUCAGAUGAUGAUGAUAACGAAAGGAGAGUGCUUGCUAUAUGCCUGACACCGUGCCAUACACCUUAAAUCAUCCAUUGCUUCCGACCACUCUGGGAGCUCCCCUUCAGAACAGAAGUGAUGGGAGUGACCUCUGGGUCAGGUCUGCUGGCUGACUAUGGGUGCAAUGGCCAGAGCUGGAGCGACUGCUUUGGACCAUGAGAUGAAAGCUGAGUGUGGAGGGACAGACAGGGCAGCAGAAGCCUGAGGUGUUUGAAUGACUUUGGGGAGCAGCUAAAUCCUUGAGCCCUGACCGCCCCCACCCCCACCCCCACCUCUGGCCUCUUACCUAAGAGAGAACUAAAAUUCUACCUUCUUUAA